AUCUACAGCCAUACCACCCUGAAGGCGUUGGAUCUCGUCUGAUCUUGGAAGCUGAGCAGGGACGGGGCUGGUUAGUACUUGGAUGGGAGAAAGAUCAUCCCUCAAUGCAUU
rnacentral:rRNA from 1 species